UAUACCAUGACACUGAGAACCAGGUUACAAGUCUAGUAUUCCUGUGACUUUUUUAAACACAGAAGAAAAAGUUUCCUAGACAAGGAUUAUGCGAUGUAUUUUAGUCAACUUUCUCAUCAAAUGUGUUGUUGGGAGUCACGGGAGACCAGGUAAAAUAAUGUAGAUGACUCAGUGAAGGAUACUUGUUGCUAAGAGGAAAUAAAUAAAUAUAAGAUGAUGAGUGGGUAAGUCAGAAAUACCUUUUCUGUGUGGGAAAAAUAUAUGCUAUUGUUAUUACUAUUCAUUUGUAUAAUAAAAGUGCCUGUUAAUGUUUAUCUGUGUCUUUCUUAAAAGCAAAUUAAAAUUAGUUCAGUAAAUAUUAUGUAAAAUCUGUUAUUCCUAAAGUCCUUAUUUCUGAGAAACUACAUGAAAAUACCUUAUAAAAAUUUUUCAUGUCUCCUAUGGUCAUCCAAAUUUAUGUAAAGAUAAUAGUUUUGGUAAUUACUCUACAAAGAUUAAAAUUUAGUUGGUGAUUU
rnacentral:lncRNA from 1 species